AUAGUUUUAAGUUAACUAGACUAAAUGUUUUCAAAACAUUAAGUGAUAUAUUUUUUGUCAAACUAUG
rnacentral:tRNA from 1 species